rnacentral:lncRNA from 1 species
GCUCACUCUGUAUACCAGGUUGGUCUCUAAUGCAGGUAUUAGCUUGCCCCUGCCUCCCAAGUACUGGGAUUAAAGGUGUGAGCCAGCACCGCCCAGCCAUUCCUGUUUAUUCUUACUUACUGCAGACCUUGGGUCUAUAAAAAUCCAUAGCUUAUGCUGAUUUAUUUUCUGAAGGAAGGUGGAUGACAGCCUUGUGAUUUUUUACUUUCCAAUAAACAGAAAAUCUUAUUUCCUGCAAAAAAAAUUUCUGUUAUUUUGAAAUUGUUGCCCAUUUUAUUUAGUUUAUCAAGAAGGCCAUUGAAACUGUUCUGUAAACAUUUUGAAAUUCCAAUUUUCACUAGGGGAGGGGUUGGAUUGUAUGGCAUGAGAAACUGAAAAAGAAAGAAAGAAAGAAAGGAAGAAAGAAAGAAAGAAAGAAAGAAAGAAAGAAAGAAAGAAAGAAAAUAAGCACACCUCCCAGAUUCUUUUGUCCCAGUAAGUCAUGUUUAUUUAUUUGUUUUCAAUUAGAGGAAUAGUGUCAAGCACUCCCUAGACCCUUGUGUGGCUUGGUUUCUUAGAUUAUACUUUUUCAUCUUUGAGCUGCUUGACCUCUGGUCUAUGAGUUAGGAAAAAGUCAUGUAUGCCCCUUACUUAUGUCUCAUAACUCCUACAAAUUGAAAUGUUUCCCCUCCCUCGCCUUAUCUUCUUAUCUGACUCUUUUCUAAAAACAGACAGGUCUCGCCUUUAUGGUGCUAGUGCUGCAAGAAUUUCAGAGGGUUAUCUCCAGCAAUCUGUCUUGUGGCCGUAGUCAAAGGCCAAAGUCCAUUACUAGAAAGGCCUCCUAGGAGGACCAAGGAGGAAGAUACUUAUUAUGAUAAGUGAGCUAUAAAACUUUUAACCUCGACAUCAUUUUAACUUUGGAAGCGAAGAAAUGAAAACAGGAUUGAGUUCUAAAAGUGCCUGAAAUGAAUGCAUGGCUUAGGAGUUCAGAAGAAGGAACUUUGAUAGUAGAUCGUGAGAUAAACAGGAAAGAGUGAGGCACGCAGGAUGGAUGAGCUCCUUUGGCUGAGAAGCUGAAGGGAUGCGUCUGCCCAGCUGCUCCGUGCAUUUCAUGUUGAACAAAGGAAGAGAAUGAUUUCCUUUUGUUUAUCCACAGACUUGCUCUAACGUGUCCCUAAUUUGGACCUGAAGGAGUCUCCAUCCCACUUUCCUUCUUUACUGAAUAGGGUCAUUGCUGGUUAUUGGUUAUUUAGGGCAAUGUUCUGUUUAGACAGAAUGCAUUCUGGAUCUGCCUCUGUUUAUAGAUUCUGACAAAUUUCCCUGCGGAUUCUGUAAGAAUUUUCAAAAUCUAAGAUUAGUGUAAAGGAGCAUGAAAUAUUUGCAGUAGGUGGAUCUAGCUAAGGUUUUAUGCAUGGUGUUAUUAACUUGACAGAUUUAGAAAAAAGGUUUCAAGAACGAAUCUAGCCUUUGUGCACUUCUUAAUCAAGGAAGAUGGCUUUUCAUCCUGAGACAGCAUCCCAUGGCACAUUUCCCUUUUUGCUGUUGGUAAUUGGAGAUGACACCUUGAUGCCAGGAGACAUUUUUAUUAAUCAUUUUGGUAAAAUCUAGCAAUACUGUACAAAUGCUCUUUCUUUCAGAUUUUGCUGUAAAUAAUAAUCACCAUUUCGUUCCAAAGACUAGUAACCUUAUAUUGUUUUACUAAAUGAUAUACAUGCAUUGUUGCAUUGUUAAUUAUAAUUAUCUAUCUGUAUUUUAUUAAGAACUGGUUAAGAAAUUAUAUUAAAGUACAUUAUGAAACCC